rnacentral:rRNA from 1 species
UACAGAGGUCUCAAGCGUUGUUCGGAUUCAUUGGGCGUAAAGGGUGCGUAGGCGGCGUGGUAAGUCGGGUGUGAAAUCUCGGAGCUUAACUCCGAAACUGCAUUCGAUACUGCCGUGCUUGAGGACUGGAGAGGAGACUGGAAUUUACGGUGUAGCGGUGAAAUGCGUAGAUAUCGUAAGGAAGACCAGUGGCGAAGGCGGGUCUCUGGACAGUUCCUGACGCUGAGGCACGAAGGCCAGGGAGCAAACGGG